GAAUGAAGGUAGCAUGGUAGUGCGCACAGAAAUUGAAUUGAUGGUCAACAUGUCUGCUCUCUCUGAUGCCUCUGUUGGUGGGCUUUGAUUUGGGCCCUGGUUUCGACCAAAAUUU